AAGAAAUUUAAGUGGGAUUAAACCCCAAUCCGGUCACUCCUUCUCACUCUCUGCAGACACUCUCUCGCUCCAACCCUCGAACACUCUCACUCUCUCUUUAGCACCAAGGGCUUUAGCCUUCAUUUUUCCAUUAUCUUACAACAAACCAAACCUUAAACUCCUAUAUUUUGAACCUAUGGAAUUCGAGGAACACAACCAUGGUCUUGCAUGCAUCAUCGAAACACCGUGAGGUGCUUAUUCAGUGAAGCCGAGAGCCUCAAGCUCUAUUGUCAAACCAGGUAACAAGAUGUGAUGAAUUGUGGUCGGUUUCAAGCUCAAAUUCGAGGGUUUUAAACCCCAAUUAUAAUCUGUGCAUGCAUUCCCAGCUUCGGCAACGAACUCUCUUGAAAACCGUCGAGUUUGAAGCCAUCUGGGGUUCUUCUUCUUCUGGGUUUUAUUCCGUUUUAGUUUAGGGAGGAAAUGGUGAAGUUCUGAGCUAAGGUUUCGUGUUAUAACUUAUGCAUACACUCUGUUUGCUUUCCCAAAAUCUGGUGAGAACCUUCAAAGAAAAUCUGUAGGUGGAUUCCACCUCCAAUCAACCUAAAAUCAUCGCAGAUUCUGGUGAUUUCCUGUGCGACAAGCGGCGGCAGACGACAGUCACCAUUAGGGUUAACGGCGACAACGGCCAUUCUUUUAGUUUUAGCGGAAUCGUUAGACGGUAAAUUAAGGUAUAUUCCGUAUCUCCUAUGUACAUUUUUUUAUGACCGGCGUGUGGCUCCGGCGACGACGAGUGUGGCGUCUACUCAUCGAACCGUGGUGGCGAGUACACCAACGAGUGAUGCCAUCGCGCGUCACGUGCAAGACCUAAGAUUUAUCUGUACGUUUUUUUAUGUUCUGAAUAAUGUGGCGCCUUCCGUUUGUGCAAGUUCAUUGCCUAAAUAGUAGUUUUAAAUAUAGUUUGGUUUAAAUGCCAAAAAAUGCUUAGUUAAGAUGUUACUUUCA